AUAUAUAUCAAUUUAUUUUCCAAUUUUUAAUAAUCGAUUUUGGAUUAUGGCAAUCGAACGUAAAGGCAUUAAUUGGUCACAAUGUUCGGCCAGUACUCGAAAGCGAAUUUCCUUCUGUUGCUUGUCUUCUC